UCAGCCUGAAAUUUUCCAUCAUUGAUCUCAGUCCAAAGCCUGUGCCUCCACCUCCAGAUUUAAAUAACAGAGUGCCGUCCUCUGAUCACAAACAGCAAACUAGUGGUGGUUUCACUUUCCUAGGCAUUGUAAUCCAAUAUCCAGUUUUGUAGCUGACACAGUAAUGCUGUUUUUUGUGAUUUAUAAACUGAUGUUCAGUCCUAUUAUGACAACAUCCACCAACACAACAGGUCAGGGCAAGAACUAUGAAGAAAAUGCUCCUCAGGGCAAGGUAGGGAAAACUCUCUUUAAUCAAAAUAAAACUACAAAGAACCUACAGUAGAUGAACACUGACUCAGGUGUUAACUAGUCUAUUCCUAAGCAGCUUUCUUUCCCUGAGGAAGGCCUGGAAAGUCCCUCACAUUUGUUGCCAAGCUUGCAAACGACUUUGCCUUCCAAAAAGAAGAACGGGUUAGGACAGACAGCUAAGCUCAGUUUUCCUUUAACCUCAAGGAAAGCUACUGGUUCCCAGAGUUUUACAGGCAGGCAUUAACUGUUACGCAUCUGUUCCAGGCAGAACACUGGAAGAUCCUCCUUUAAACAUAUCUCCCUCUUCAUCAUUUCUUCUAGGUGAAAUAUUUCUGGCAGAUGUUAUACUGCUGGCUUGCAUUAAUAUGGUUGCAUUAAUCCUGUCUGUUCUGCUCCAUUGUGCAGUUUGUAAACACUUAUUCCAUUGGCUGAUUCUGAAAUAUCAGCCUCACCCUCUGAGUAUAGAUGUGGUAUACCCAGCACUGUACCUAGACUCCUGGCGGCCCCAGGCAAACUUUUAGUAUCCGGCCCUCCUUUGCCAGAGAUGAUGAUAAUAAUUGGACAAUGAAAAAAAAUUACCAUUUUUGGGCCCCUUUUCUGUCUGGUCCCCGGGCAGCCACCCAAUUCGCCCGUGCCUGUGUCCAGCCCUGGGUAUACCAUUAAUAAAAUUUCAGAAUGGAUGAAGUUCUUUGAGGCAGAGUGACAGCAGUAAGUUGAUAAGUAAUGGGGUCAAUUGCAUUGUGCUCUAUGACCAAGGCUAUAUUUAUACAUUUACUGCUUUUUACCAAUAAUGGAGUUCUUUAAACAUGCCUUUGUUAAAGCUAAUAAUAAAAAAUAUUGAGGGCUUAUUUUAAUGGGGAAAAGACUUAACUAUGGAAAUCAAGUUACAUUUUCUUAAACUUAUUUCCUUUAUGUUAGUUGGGCAGCUGGCUGCCAGCAUGCUACUAUCAGCAAAAGCCCAACAUAGUAUUAAUAAAAAAAGUUUAAACUAUUUCAAAUGUUAAAAUAUUUUAUGAUGGGACAGGCAUUUAAUGCAUUUAUUUGUUUCUCCCUUUUACCUCCACACUGUACACAAAGUUCAUUAAAUAAAAGAACAAUUUACAUUA